rnacentral:hammerhead_ribozyme from 1 species
ACACAGAUGACGAGUCCCAGAUAGGACGAAAUGCGCGUUGUUCUGGAU